rnacentral:rRNA from 1 species
AGUUUAAAGGAAAUAAUUUUAAAUGAAUCCUGCCCAGUGAAUAAUUUUAAAUGGCCGCAGUACCUUGACUGUGCUAAGGUAGCAUAAUCAAUUGGCUUUUAAUUAGAGUCUGGAAUGAAUGGAAGAAUGAAUUAAAGCUGUCUUAAAUUUAUUUUUAUAAAAUUAUUUAUAAGGUGAAAAUACCUUAAUUUUUAGAAAAAAGACGAGAAGACCCUUAGAGUUUUUAAUAUAAAAAUAAUUAAUAAUUUUAAUUUUUUUGUUGGGGCGACAAGUAAACAUUUUAAACUUUACGUUUUUAUAUUACGAUUUUAUUAAAAUAAAUAAAACUACCUUAGGGAUAACAGCAUUAUUUAUUAAUAAGAUUGUGACCUCGAUGUUGGACUAGGAACUUUAUGGCUAGCCGUCAAAAAAGAUUUGUUCUGUUCGAACA